AAAACGACUCUCGACAACGGAUAUCUCGGCUCUCGCAUCGAUGAAGAACGUAGCGAAAUGCGAUACUUGGUGUGAAUUGCAGAAUCCCGUGAACCAUCGAGUCUUUGAACGCAAGUUGCGCCCCAAGCCGUCAGGCCGAGGGCACGUCUGCCUGGGUGUCACAC
rnacentral:rRNA from 4 species